CAUCAAUCCCUCCCCGCCGCCACUCCUCGUCCUCCUCGGGAUCCCUCCCGAUCCACCCAUUCCACCAACCAGAGACUUCCCUGCUCGAUCCCAAGGGGAUCACGAGCAGCUCAUCCCCGCUGCCGACGGACCAGGCCGGACCUCGCGCCCCUGCCCUUUCUCUUCCUUUCUUCUUCUUCCCGUGCCUCACAUCUCUCUGUUUCCUCUCGUUCUCUCUCCCGCAGGAGCCCAUGGCGAGCCUGACCGAGCCCCUCACAUGGCGCCCUCGUGCCCGAGCUCUUCAUCAGCCCCGCGUCACCGGAGUCAAGCCACCGGCCGCCCGAGCCUUGUGCGCCUCUGCCUCGAGGACCUCCUCGUCCCCAACCAGGACGCCAUGGUCGGCCUCCUCUGUUCGUCCUCUGCCUCGUGCGCGACCCCGUCGGCCGGAUCUGCUCGAGCACGCCGUCCCCUGGGCCUCAAACUCCUCCUGCCGGAGCCGCAAGUCCCGUGCCUCUGCGUUCAGCGCCGCCGUUUGCAUCCCGCCUGAACGGAUCGAGUGAUCCUGCUCAUCCCGCGCGCCGCCAAGCCCGACCUCGCCUCUGCUUUGUCCUGUUCGAGGGAAUGAGCGAGCGGCUUGCCUCUGCUCCACCUCCCCCGUUUCGGUCGCCAUCUCCGGCGAGUGCAGACGCCAGUGUAGCCCCGCAGGAGAACCCCGUCGCCAGUACGCAUGGGAGCCACCUCCUGCCGUCGCUCGGAGAUGACGCCCCUUCGCCCGUCCUCGCCGGAUUGAGCAGCCUCCGCGCCCCUGCCAAGCCCGCCUCCUGUCACCAAGCGCUGCCGCUGCCGGACGCCCUGCGGCGUCGACCUGCUCUCAGCGCCGAUGCUUCCUCUGCUUCGCUCGACUGGAUGCAGCCGCUCGCCCCGUUGACCGCGCGAGCCCGUCAGCGCAUCUCUGCCUCGCUGGCCAAGGCCCAGCCUGCUCCAGCUCCCCAACCGGCCUGCUACCUCCUCCACCGAACGGGCCAAGGCCUACUGGCUUCGGUUUCGUUCCGGAGUUGUGAGGAUUCGUUCGACUACAUUCGUUUGUCUUCUUCAUGGACUCGUUCUUCUUCCUAGCGGGAUCUCAGUUGCAGGUGCCAAUGAUACCAGUGCAGGUGACGCAACCGAACUCAAGUGGGAGCUCGAUGAAGAUCUUGUUCGUUGUGUUGUUUCUUUUCAUUUUGAUCAGUAGUGGUGCCCAGUUGGGACGAUCAGGGAUCUAGCAGUUGGGUUGUCUUCUUUUAUUUUGGUUCCGUAGUCGGACCUAUGUGUGUACUCUGAAUGAUGUAUGAAUUUAUUAUGUAUUGUGUGAAGUGGCGAUUGUAAGCCAACUCUUUAUCCCAU
rnacentral:rRNA from 1 species